rnacentral:rRNA from 1 species
UCGAGUAAUCAAUUAAUUCCAUCUUAUCUAAGAACCCUUAAACAAUAUUGAGUAAUUCUAUAUUACUAUAGAAGAUUUUAUGUUAAAACUAGUAACAAGAAGAAGAACUUCUUAUAUAAUGCAAGUGUAAAUCAGAUAGGACAUCCCACUGAUAAUUAACACCGAUGAAAAAGAGUAGCAACUCAACAAGAAAAUUCUACUAAACUAUGUGUUAACCUAACACCAGAGCAUUCCAAAAAAGAUUAAAAGAAAAAGAAGGAACUCGGCAAAUUUUAACCUCGCCUGUUUACCAAAAACAUCGCCUCUUGAAUAUAAAUAUAAGAGGUCCAGCCUGCCCAGUGACUUUGUUCAACGGCCGCGGUAUCCUAACCGUGCGAAGGUAGCGUAAUCACUUGUUCUUUAAAUGAGGACUAGUAUGAAUGGCACCACGAAGGUUUUACUGUCUCCUUUUUCUAAUCAGUGAAACUAAUCUCCCCGUGAAGAAGCGGGGAUAAAUUUAUAAGACGAGAAGACCCUAUGGAGCUUUAAACUAUGUAACACUUGCACCCACUUAAUGUAAAUUCCAGAAAAAUAUAUUUUACCAAUGCAAGAUUAUUACCAGUUUUAGGUUGGGGUGACCGCGGAGCAAAAAACAACCUCCACAUUGAAGGGAGAUCUCUCCUGAGCAAAGAACAACACCUCCACGCACCAUUAUAAUGACAUCAAUUGACCCAAUAUUUUGAUCAACGAACCAAGUUACCCUAGGGAUAACAGCGCAAUCCACUUCAAGAGCCCCUAUCGACAAGUGGGUUUACGACCUCGAUGUUGGAUCAGGGUAUCCCGGUGGUGCAGCCGCUACCAAA